rnacentral:rRNA from 1 species
AUUGAACGCUGGCGGCAGGCCUAACACAUGCAAGUCGAAUGGUAACAGGAAACAGCUUGCUGUUUCGCUGACGAGUGGCGGACGGGUGAGUAAUGUCUGGGAAACUGCCUGAUGGAGGGGGAUAACUACUGGAAACGGUAGCUAAUACCGCAUAACGUCGCAAGACCAAAGAGGGGGACCUUCGGGCCUCUUGCCAUCAGAUGUGCCCAGAUGGGAUUAGCUAGUAGGUGGGGUAACGGCUCACCUAGGCGACGAUUCCUAGCUGGUCUGAGAGGAUGACCAGCCACACUGGAACUGAGACACGGUCCAGACUCCUACGGGAGGCAGCAGUGGGGAAUAUUGCACAAUGGGCGCAAGCCUGAUGCAGCCACGCCGCGUGUAUGAAGAAGGCCUUCGGGUUGUAAAGUACUUUCAGCGGGGAGGAAGGGAGUAAAGUUAAUACCUUUGCUCAUUGACGUUACCCGCAGAAGAAGCACCGGCUAACUCCGUG